UUCAGACCGCGCACCGUGGUAAUGUCCCGUGCUCAUAGGAUACCCAUUUUCUCUCCUCUCCUCGUGGUCACUAACGUGUCACACGCUCAUAUUGUGUUUUCUUCCUGGGAACAGUUUAAAGACACAUGUAAAAUCGAUCAGGUAAGACCAUGAAUCAAAAAGAACCCCAGGCAGAAGGAAUGACAGCUAUAGUUUUUGUCUGCAGGCUAAGUGAAGGCAGGGAACCUCAGAGGUGAUUCAUUGCCUCCCACCAGUGUCUGGCAGGCAGCAGGUCGCUGGCAAAGAUGUUUCAUGGAAAUUAAACACAGGUCUCCCCUUUGGAAACCCCCUAUCCCAUCCCUUCUUCCCCUGCCUUUAUGAGGGUGCUCCCCUACCCACCCACUCACUCCUGUCUUCCCGCGCUGGCCUUCCCCUACACCGGGGCAUUGGACACCCUCAGGCCCAUGGGCCUCUCCUCUC
rnacentral:lncRNA from 1 species